rnacentral:lncRNA from 1 species
CAGCAUUCCAACAAGCUAAGCGUACGUUUCCAGAGAGUGAUGGAAUAAUCUUAUAUAUGUAUAUUAUUGGAGACGGCUACCCGUUCAAGAUGAGCCAUAAGAAGACCAAAUGCCCAAGCAGAGUAGAAAAAGCAUCAUACAUGAUAUUGCUAGUAUUCAGUGCAUUACCCAUUCGGUCCAAGCAAAAAGAUGAUAUGUAUUGACAUGGCCGGAAAUAUACUGAUUCUAACAAGAUGUGAAUACUCAAAAAGAGCCUUGAAACAAAGAAAUAUAAAGUAAGAUGACAUGUAAAGCAACGUGAAAUAUAAAGUAAGAUGACAUGUAAAGCAACGUUGAGAUCCUAAUAAACAAACCAAUAAACAUGCAAUAAAAGAAAUUGUUGGAGCCAAUCA